GGAUCGUGGGCAAGAACCUCAAGCAGGAAUCAUCUCCUGGAGUUAUUUGGAUCCAAGAGAGUGAAUGUUGGACAGUUGUUGACACAGAUUUCACAACAGACCAAUACUACAGAGCCAACUGCGCUCCGGACACAGGUGCUCAGAGGGCUUCCUAUCAUCCUUGGGGACAACCCCACAAACUUCUUUAAAGCAGGCUUUGAAUCUGAUGAUGAUGAUGAUUCUUUUCGUGACCUUGACAUUGGGACACUUGUCAUUGAGCGUGAAGGUGCUGUGCACACAUCUUCCCAGCAUCUCAGUCCAGCCUCGUUGCAAAUCAUCAUUGAGGGAGAAGUUGUGAUGGACAACAUUCAAAAUCUGCCGACAGCAAUGUGCAUUCUGUUUGGACUCACGUAUGCACUCCAUCUUAACUACCCCAAGACUAUGAAGCUCACAUUUCAGUUCAUCCAACAGGUAUUGCUCUCAUUAGACCUAAAGCCAAAGCUACAGUGUUUGAAAAAUCAGCUUGAAAUGUAAAGAGAUGUCAAUUCUUCUGUAAGAAGCUGUUGACUAAUUUUUUUUGCCGCACCAGUAAAACAAUUUCUGACGUGUGGGGAAAACCUUUAUAUUUUCUGUAAAGCAAGCAGAUGAACAGACACACGUACAACGCAGACACACACGUACAACACACACAAACAACACUGACACACACUUAAAUGCUGUAGGAAGCGUGCUGAAGGAUGGGAAAAUUGGACAACUGAAGACAAAAGACAUUAUUGUUUCAGUUCUUCAUCAGUCUAUGUUGAUGGAAUUAGAUAUUGUUCUGAUAUGAUGGCCUGUUGGUUCAUGCUCAGGGGGGU